rnacentral:rRNA from 1 species
CCUACGGGAGGCAGCAGUGGGGAAUAUUGCACAAUGGGGGAAACCCUGAUGCAGCGACGCCGCGUGAAGGAUGAAGUAUUUCGGUAUGUAAACUUCUAUCAGCAGGGAAGAAAAUGACGGUACCUGACUAAGAAGCCCCGGCUAACUACGUGCCAGCAGCCGCGGUAAUACGUAGGGGGCAAGCGUUAUCCGGAUUUACUGGGUGUAAAGGGAGCGUAGACGGCAUGGCAAGUCUGAUGUGAAAACCCGGGGCUCAACCCCGGGACUGCAUUGGAAACUGUCAGGCUAGAGUGUCGGAGAGGCAA